rnacentral:rRNA from 1 species
AUUGAACGCUGGCGGCAUGCUUUACACAUGCAAGUCGAACGGUAACAGGUCUUCGGAUGCUGACGAGUGGCGAACGGGUGAGUAAUGCAUCGGAACGUGCCCGAGAGUGGGGGAUAACGAGGCGAAAGCUUUGCUAAUACCGCAUACGAUCUCAGGAUGAAAGCAGGGGACCGCAAGGCCUUGCGCUCACGGAGCGGCCGAUGGCAGAUUAGGUAGUUGGUGGGAUAAAAGCUUACCAAGCCGACGAUCUGUAGCUGGUCUGAGAGGACGACCAGCCACACUGGGACUGAGACACGGCCCAGACUCCUACGGGAGGCAGCGGUGGGGAAUUUUGGACAAUGGGCGCAAGCCUGAUCCAGCCAUGCCGCGUGCAGGAUGAAGGCCUUCGGGUUGUAAACUGCUUCUGUACGGAACGAAAAGACUCUGGUUAAUACCUGGGGUCCAUGACGGUACCGUAAGAACAAGCACCGGCUAACUACGUGCCAGCCGCCGCCGUAA